UACGUAGGUCCCGAGCGUUGUCCGGAUUUAUUGGGCGUAAAGCGAGCGCAGGUGGUUUAUUAAGUCUGGUGUAAAAGGCAGUGGCUCAACCAUUGUAUGCAUUGGAAACUGGUAGACUUGAGUGCAGAAGAGGAGAGUGGAACUCCAUGUGUAGCGGUGAAAUGCGUAGAUAUAUGGAGGAACACCGGUGGCGAAAGCGGCUCUCUGGCCUGUAACUGACACUGAGGCUCGAAAGCGUGGGGAGCAAACAGG
rnacentral:rRNA from 1 species